GACGAACGCUGGCGGCGUGCCUAAUACAUGCAAGUAGAACGCUGAAGGAGGAGCUUGCUUCUCUGGAUGAGUUGCGAACGGGUGAGUAACGCGUAGGUAACCUGCCUGGUAGCGGGGGAUAACUAUUGGAAACGAUAGCUAAUACCGCAUAAGAGUAGAUGUCGCAUGACAUUUGCUUAAAAGGUGCAAUUGCAUCACUACCAGAUGGACCUGCGUUGUAUUAGCUAGUUGGUGAGGUAACGGCUCACCAAGGCAACGAUACAUAGCCGACCUGAGAGGGGGAUCGGCCACACUGGGACUGGGACACGGCCCAGACUCCUACGGGAGGCAGCAGGAGGGAAUCUUCGGCAAUGGACGGAAGUCUGAACGAGCAAAGCCGGGGUAGUGAAGAAGGUUUUCGGAUUGUAAAGCUCUGUUGUAAGGGAAGAACGAGUGUGAGAGUGGAAAGUUCACACUGUGACGGUAUCUUACCAGAAAGGGACGGCUAACUACGUG
rnacentral:rRNA from 1 species